GAACAAUGUACCACACAAUAAUAUAUUAACAAUCAAAUGUGCGCAAAGCAUCACAUUUAUUACACGAAACCGUACAUGCAACAUGAUGGUGAGAUUUCAGAGGAAAGCCACACUACUCCAGAUCCAUGAGCAUUAUCUCAACCACACAAUCACACAUGUCGAAUGAGUAACCAGAUCACACACACAUGGCCCACUCAUUCGACAUCACACAUGCAGAAAAAACAGGAUAUACACAUAGGCAGCAGGCAGAAACACA
rnacentral:lncRNA from 1 species